GAUCCCACAACAAACAUCUCCCUUACACAAGGUACCAGCUCAUAGACCUGCAGAUAAAACAGUUAAGUGUAACAAAUCAUAGCAAAUGUGAUGUCAGACCUGUCAACAAGGCUCACACUAUAUAUGGUCUCACAAGCUCAACCCUCAUACUCUCCCAGCUCAGAAUUGAAGGACAGGUGAAUGAGAGAAACAAAAAAGAAAAGAUAGCAGUAAGCCAAAAUACAACAAACUCUGAAAAUAUAGUACUCCCAUCACUCAACCCACGACAAAAAUUUCCUAUGCAAUGUGUACAACAAGAACAGUCAAUCAGCUUCUCCAAUCAGUCACUAAGACCUCACCAAAACUUUCUAUAACAAAGUUCCAGCCCAAACAAACCUGCAUAGAUGAGGUUAGAAAAGUUUAGGAACUUUCUUCACUCAACCCUCAAUCUCACAUACCUCCACUACCUAAUUUUGGAUUCACAGUCACUCAACCCUCCAUCCCUAACAUAAGGCCAGCUUGGCAACCUACAAUGUUCCUUUGUUUUGUUUUGUUGUGCUAGUGUUGCCUCCACACCAACAUUGUACUUUUUUUUUCCCUGUCUCUAUUUCUUCUUUCCUCUUUAUUGAUGUAAUCUCAUAUGAAAUGUAUGUUUUGUCAUCAAUAAAGAUUCUGUUCCGCUGAUUAAAAAAUUUGGGUUUGCUUUGUGGUUUUAAAAGUUAGAGAGAAAAGUGGGUUUGCUUUGCUUUAUAUUGCUUUAUAUCAGCCUAAAUUUUAGACUUCAUCAAAUUUUCGGCAAAGUUGAAAUUGAGUUCUAGGAUGGCACCAAUGAUUGAGUUGCUUUCUAUUUAGAAUCAGAUUUCAGGGUACCUAUGAAGUUUGAGUUGUUUUCAUUUAUGGAUUUGGGAUAGCUGGUGGGUGACGCUGCUGAUGCUGUCAAGUGCUGCUAUUGUUAAUGCCUCAGGGAUUGUGUUGUUGCAGAUUAGAUUUGCAUUAGGGGGGGAGUUUGAGUAGACAAGGGAGUUUGAGCAGCCUCUGGGAGUUUGAGAACUGUUUAUUGGUGCAUUGCAUAGUGUGUGUUGUUGGUUGAUUGAUUUUGCCUCUUCUAAUUUAAUUUGGCUUUGGUUGCACUGAUGCAAAGGGUGGCUGCUAGUUUUGCUCAUGAUUGGAUGGUUUUAUGUUUUUGGGUCUGAGUUGGUUUUGGUGCUUUGUUGUUUGUUUUGUUGUAAUUCGUUUUGGUGUUUGUUUUGUUCUGUUCUAGUUUGUUUUUGUUUUCGGUUGGUUUCUUACCACUUUUGAUGGUGUGCUAAUAAGUGAUUAGGUGUGCAUCUCAGUAUACUGCUCGAUAUAGUGCUGAUACUGUGAAGACCUUUCUUUAUUCACUCAACAACGGGAAGAUACCAAAGAAGAUAUUCAACUCCUACUACAGUUUUCGAGGGUGCUUAUGAGAGUUUGGGCCUUGAUGCUUCUAGUGGGAAAUCAGUUAGCAUGCAGAAGAUAUGGCAUCUAAUUCAGGAAAAGAUGUGGUGAUGCCAUUUAACUACAGGCGAGGAAAUGUGCGUUGAGAGUACGAGACUCUCAUUUUGCUGUGACUUUGCGUGUAAGCCAAGGGCUGUAUGUGUGUGAGUUUAAAUAAUCGUUUUGUGUAACCAGACUCAAGCCUUAGAAACUUCUAAACUCUUGGGGGUAUUUAUUUGUUUAUUUACUUGUUGGAUUAAUGUAUUGUUGCAUGAAGAACUAUUGUAUCAUGUAAUGUAAGUUUGGAGAUUUA